rnacentral:tRNA from 1 species
GGCUGCGUAGAUUAUCUUUAAAUCCUAAGGCUGUUAACCUUAAGAAGAGUUUUGCGUGAUUCUGCAGCCGC